rnacentral:rRNA from 1 species
CGGGAGGCAGCAGUGGGGAAUAUUGCACAAUGGGCGCAAGCCUGAUGCAGCCAUGCCGCGUGUAUGAAGAAGGCCUUCGGGUUGUAAAGUACUUUCAGUCGUGAGGAAGGUGGUGUUGUUAAUAGCAGCAUCAUUUGACGUUAGCGACAGAAGAAGCACCGGCUAACUCCGUGCCAGCAGCCGCGGUAAUACGGAGGGUGCGAGCGUUAAUCGGAAUUACUGGGCGUAAAGCGCAUGCAGGUGGUGGAUUAAGUCAGAUGUGAAAGCCCGGGGCUCAACCUCGGAACCGCAUCUGAAACUGGUUCACUAGAGUACUGUAGAGGGGGGUAGAAUUUCAGGUGUAGCGGUGAAAUGCGUAGAGAUCUGAAGGAAUACCGGUGGCGAAGGCGGCCCCCUGGACAGAUACUGACACUCAGAUGCGAAAGCGUGGGGAGCAAACAGGAUUAGAUACCCUGGUAGUCCACGCCGUAAACGAUGUCUACUUGGAGGUUGUGGCCUUGAGCCGUGGCUUUCGGAGCUAACGCGUUAAGUAGACCGCCUGGGGAGUACGGUCGCAAGAUUAAAACUCAAAUGAAUUGACGGGGGCCCGCACAAGCGGUGGAGCAUGUGGUUUAAUUCGAUGCAACGCGAAGAACCUUACCUACUCUUGACAUCUACAGGAUCCUGCGGAGACGCGGGAGUGCCUUCGGGAACUGUAAGACAGGUGCUGCAUGGCUGUCGUCAGCUCGUGUUGUGAAAUGUUGGGUUAAGUCCCGCAACGAGCGCAACCCUUAUCCUUGUUUGCCAGCAAGUAAUGGUGGGAACUCCAGGGAGACUGCCGGUGAUAAACCGGAGGAAGGUGGGGACGACGUCAAGUCAUCAUGGCCCUUACGAGUAGGGCUACACACGUGCUACAAUGGCGCAUACAGAGGGCAGCAAGCUAGCGAUAGUGAGCGAAUCCCAAAAAGUGCGUCGUAGUCCGGAUUGGAGUCUGCAACUCGACUCCAUGAAGUCGGAAUCGCUAGUAAUCGUAGAUCAGAAUGCUACGGUGAAUACGUUCCCGGGCCUUGUACACACCGCCCGUCACACCAUGGGAGUGGGCUGCAAAAGAACGUGGGUAGUUUAACCUUUCGGGGAGGACGCUCACCACUUGGUCCCG